rnacentral:lncRNA from 1 species
UUUCUUAAUGUGGGCAUUCAUUGAUAUAAAUUUUCCUCUUAGAACUGUUUGCAUAACUCAAAGUGCAUCAAAGACUUAAACAUUAAAACAGAGAUCCUGCACCUAAUAGAAGAAAAAGAAGGCCCAAAUCUUCACCAUGUCAGCCCUAGGAUCUGACUUCCUUAACAACACUCCUAAAGCAAGGAAAUAGAUUACACAUAUGUUCAAAAUUGACUUUCCACACUGGGGCUGACAGUUACUUCAUCUUCUGUGUCUCCCACACUUAAACAGUGACCCAUACUUGAGCCCUGAUCCAGCUCCCAGCCCUUGAAUAUCAACUAGCUGUCAAGUGGCAUGUUAAUUAUAUAAGCCUGUUUCCAUCAGAAAGCGGGCAGCAUUUUUCCUCAUUAUAAUAUAUAUCUAUUAUAGAUGCAGAUUUAUUUUUCUUGCAUGCCAAAUUGUUGUCUGCAUGGUCAUCUAUAGCCUACUAAAUACCUGUGUUCUUGGUAUGUCCUUAACCAUGCUUCUGACCUGAGAAUUUGUUUAUUGAUAAAUGAAGUAAAGUAUUAAACUGAUAAUUUUUGGGGGGGGCACUAGGGAUUGAACCCAGUGGUGCUUAACCACUGAGCCACAUCUCCAGCCCUUUUUAUUUUUUAUUUUGAGACAAGGUCUCAAUAAGUUGCUUAGAGCCUUGCUUUUAGAGCCUCACUAAGUUGCUGAGGCUGGCUUUGAACUUGCAAUUCUCCUACAUCAGCCUCGUGAGCCGUUGGGAUUAUAAGCAUGUAGCAACAUGCCAAGCUAAACUAGUAUCAUUGAGAUUCACUGGUCUUACUAUGUAUCCCAUCAUCCAGAAGUAGACAAGCUUUUAGAAGUAGAAGGUCCUUUGGGAGACCCAGCACUUAGCUGAGAGAUCUCCCCUUUUUUAGCUUCUCUCUGUGUUCCUCCUCAGUAUUCUCCAAGGGACCCUCUUUCUCUGCUGCUAAUCCUUAAAUUAGUAUUCAUCACUGUUCUAUACUGAAUCUGUUUCUCACUUUUUUGAUUCAGGGGUGAUUUUAGAUUUUCUCUACUUUCACAGUUUUAAUUAAUUCCUACAUUUCUGACUCCCCCAUUAAUUUUUUUUAGGACAGUCACCUCUCCUAAGCAUCAACUACAGUCUGAGUAUUUCUACCUCAGUGUCUCAGUCAGUUUAAGCACAGGAUGGAUGAAUCAAAACUCUGUAGCUUCCUCCUCUCACCUCCUCAAAAUCCCUAAAAUUGGCAAAAUAUUCCUUGAUUGUAUUCCCUAUCACAGUGAAUGGCACCACAAUUCACAAGUGUUGCUCCAGCCAAUAAAGAUACCACUUGUUAGGCUGGGGAUGUAGCUCAGUUGGUAGAGUGCUUGCAUUGCAUGCACAAGAUCCUGGAUUCAAUCCCUAGCACCAAAAAAAAAAAAAAGAUACCACUUGUCAUUUGCCUCUCUAAUCUACUUAACCAAUCAGUCUUCAAAUCUUUCCAUUUUAGCUUCUGAAAUAAUGUUCUUUUUAAAAAAUUUCUACUGCCUUAGUUGUUGUUGUUGUUGUUAUUAUUAUUUGCAGUGUUGGGGAUUGAACCCAGGGAAAUCUUACCACUGAGUUACAUCCCCAGUCCUUUUAAUUUUUUUUUAUUUUGAGACAGGGUCUCACUAAGUUGCUGAGACUGACCUUGAACUUGUGCUCCUGUUUCAGCCUUUCAAGUCACUGGGAUUACAGGCAUGCACCAUCAUGCCAUAUUCUACUGCCUUAGUUUUAUUAAUUUUUUCUUUUUUGGAUAUGGGGUAUUAAAACCAAGGACAUUUUACCACUGAGCUACAUCUCAGCCCCUUUUAAUUUUUUUUUUCUCAUUUUGAGACAGUGUCUUGUUAAGUUCCUAAGGCUGACCUUAAACUUGGGAUCCUCCUGCCUCAGCCUCCCAAACUGCUGGGAUUACAGGUGAGUGCUUCCACUACUGCCUUAGUUUUAGAUAUCAUUAUUUCCAGUCUACUUUACUGCAGCAGCCUCCUAGCUAGUCUUUCUUCCUUAAAUCUUGUCUCCCUUUCGUUCAUUCUUCAUAUUGAAGACAGACUAAUAUAUUUGGAACACAUGGAGUCAAGUCUUUUGU